rnacentral:rRNA from 1 species
AGAGCGAACGUUAGCGGGAGGCUUAACACAUGCAAGUCGAGCGAGAACGGAGACUUCGGUCUCUUAGUAAAGCGGCGGACGGGUGAGUAACACGUGGAUAAUCUGCCCUUUGGCGGGGGACAACAGCUCGAAAGGGUUGCUAAUACCGCAUAAGUCUACGAGACCUCCGGGGCUCGUAGGGAAAGAUGGCCUCUAUUUAUAAGCUAUCACCGAAGGAUGAGUCCGCGUUGCAUCAGCUUGUUGGUGGGGUAAUGGCCUACCAAGGCAAAGACGCAUAGCUGGUCUGAGAGGAUGAUCAGCCACACUGGGACUGAGAUACGGCCCAGACUCCUACGGGAGGCAGCAGUGGGGAAUAUUGCACAAUGGGGGAAACCCUGAUGCAGCAACGCCGCGUGGAGGAUGACGCAUUUCGGUGUGUAAACUCCUUUUAUAUCCCAAGAUAAUGACGGUAGGAUAUGAAUAAGCACCGGCUAACUCCGUGCCAGCAGCCGCGGUAAUACGGAGGGUGCAAGCGUUACUCGGAAUCACUGGGCGCAAAGGAUGCGUAGGCGGAUAAUCAAGUCAAAAGUGAAAUCCCACGGCUUAACCGUGGAACUGCUUUCGAAACUGAUUAUCUAGAAUAUGGGAGAGGCAGAUGGAAUUAGUGGUGUAGGGAUAAAAUCCGUAGAGAUCACUAGGAAUACCGAUUGCGAAGGCGAUCUGCUAGAACAUAAUUGACGCUGAGGCAUGAAAGCGUGGGGAGCAAACAGGAUUAGAUACCCUGGUAGUCCACGCCCUAAGCGAUGUACACUAGUUGUUGCAAUGCUUGUCAUUGCAGUAAUACAGUUAACACAUUAAGUGUACCGCCUGGGGAGUACGGUCGCAAGAUUAAAACUCAAAGGAAUAGACGGGGACCCGCACAAGCGGUGGAGCAUGUGGUUUAAUUCGAAGAUACGCGAAGAACCUUACCUAGACUUGAUAUCCUUAGAAUCUUAUAGAGAUAUGAGAGUGCUUGUUUACAAGAACUAAGUGACAGGUGCUGCACGGCUGUCGUCAGCUCGUGUCGUGAGAUGUUGGGUUAAGUCCCGCAACGAGCGCAACCCUCGUGAUUAGUUGCUAACAGUUUGGCUGAGCACUCUAAUCAGACUGCCUUCGUAAGGAGGAGGAAGGUGAGGACGACGUCAAGUCAUCAUGGCCCUUAUGUCUAGGGCUACACACGUGCUACAAUGGUUAGGACAAAGAGCAGCGAUACUGUGAAGUGGAGCAAAUCUUAAAACCUAAUCUCAGUUCGGAUUGAAGUCUGCAACUCGACUUCAUGAAGCUGGAAUCGCUAGUAAUCGUAGAUCGGCAAUGCUACGGUGAAUACGUUCCCGGGUCUUGUACUCACCGCCCGUCACACCAUGGGAGUUGAUUUCACUCGAAGCUGGAAUACUAAAUUAGUUACCGUCCACAGUGGAAUUAGCAACUGGGGUG